AGGAGUUCCGCAGCUGCGCGCAGAAGGGACCUGAGACCGGCCGCCCCGGAGAGGCAGUCAAAGCCUGGGGAGACUUUGUGAUGGGCCGAUGAAAAAUCAUCCAAGGUUUGAAAACUUUUGCCUGUGAAGUCAUCUUGACCUGAGAAGGAAAUUAAUUCUUACAACAAUCACAUGAACUUGGAAGGGCAUCCUUCCCUAGCUGAGCCUUCAUUUGAGACAUCAGCCUUGGCAAUCAUCUUGGUAUUUGUGACUCAGAAACCGUGAGUAAGAGCUUAUUAUAUUUAACACUGUGUUACUCUGGAAUGAAGAAACAAAGAGUACAAGACUGCCACUCUGCAUUUACAGCACCAAGAGAAGGGAUCACAGCUCCAAGUUUUCCAAAUGUUUCCUAACUUCCUUUGGAAUCUCAGUGGAAGCCUCCAUGACGCCUAACUUCAGCAUCUUGAAUUUCUGCAAAACCAUUACUAUGUGGUAGACAGC